AGACAGACUCUUGCCCUGUCGCCCAGGCUAGUGGCGCGAUCUGGGCUCACUGCAACCUCCACCUCCCAGGUUCAAGCAAUUCUCCUGCCUCAGCCUCCUGAGUAGCUGGGAUUACAGGUGCAUGCCACCAUGCCCUGCUGAUUUUUGUAUUUUUAGUACCGACAGGGUUUCACCAUGUUGGUCAGGCUGGUCUCAAACUCUUGUUUUUGUUUUGCUUUGUUUUGUUUUGCUUUUGAGAUGGAGUCUCACUCUGUUGCUCAGGCUGGAGUGCAGUAGCAUGAUCUUGGCUCACUGCAACCUCCACCUCCUGGGUUCAAGCGAUUCUCCCACCUCAGCCUCCCAAGUGGCUGGGACUACAGGCAUGUGCCACCACGCCUAGCUAAUUUUUGUAUUUUUAGUAGAGACGGGGUUUCACCAUGUUGGCCGGGCUGGUCUUGAACUCCUGACCUCAGGUGAUCCACCUGCCUCGGCCUCCCAAAGUGCUGGGAUUAUAGGCAUGAGCCACCGUGCCCGGCCUCACAUACAGGUUUUGGGGACUUAACCUUAUUCUGUCUGUUCCUUCCACAUGUUUGCAGCUCAGAAGGCAGUGGUCUUGUCUAGGGUGCUCUCUAUGCAUCUUGCAGAAAGCAGUGUAUAAGCAGCUAUGUGGACACAGCACAUAAGAGCGCCCUGUGGUCCUAUCACUUCUAGCAAGUCUCUGCUUCCUCUAAACUUACAUACACAGGGACAUCCUGUUCCUACAGACCACAGUAGAUGAGGGCUGGACAGCCUGACAGACGCCGGGAGAAGUGAGUAGUUCUGACGCACCCGGCUUCCCUUCCCUUUCCAAACUCUUAGCUAUUUUUUUUCUUUAUUUUCCUUCCUGUGUUGAAAGAGCUAUGGGGCCUGGACCAUAGUAGGGUUUCCUGGGGACAUUCCAUAAAUUCUUCAUGGGUUAUUUCUCUGGAGAGGGGUGGGAGCAAGUAAGCUGGUAGAUGGGAGGCCAGCAGGGGCCUGGGUAUGAAUGUCAAGUACCUCAAAGCAGCGUGGGUGGGAAGGAAGGGUGAGCUGCACAGAGGAGGAAGGAGGGGUGUCAUGAGCUCAUAGAAACCGCCAAAGAAAGGCCAAGCAAAGAGUGAGAAGAAGCAGCCAAAUCACAGGUCAGAACAAGCUGUGGGUAACCACGCCCCCAGCUUUGCCCUUGAACCUGCUGACUGGUCUCCACAGUAACUUGUCCGUCAGGGUUUCAAUAAGGCCAGGAGAACUUGGCCAACUCAGGUGUGUGACUUGGAUAGAUGCCAAGCAGCCCCUAGUGUGUGCUGUGCACGAUGCAUGGAGAUAUGGGGAAAGUCAACUCAAGGUCCCUUUGUAUCUGGUUGGGUCCCUUUUCCUUUAUUCACUUCUCAUCCAUCCAUCCAUUCAGCAAACACUGAUUCCUUAAUUCACAUCUAGAUCUGAAGAGAGUGAAAGCACUGGCCCCUAGCUGACCUCUGUAGCAAGCCUGGACCUGAAGAUCAUUCUCAGUCUCCCUCCCUGGGCUCUAGAGCUACUUCUUUAAGUAAAAAUGGUGCCAAAUUGGGUGUCAAGGCAAGAAGCAACUUGUCCUAGAUCUCUAUGCUUGGGCAAGUCAAUUUUCUUCUCUGGACCUCAGUUUCCCUGUCAAAUAAUGAGAGUAUUGGGCCAGGCAAUCUCUAAGGUUCCUUAAAGAAUGGUUCUAUUUUUCAAAGCAGUUUUGAAGCCUAUCCCAUGAGUGAACACUCGGUGACAGGAUUAAAGGGGAAGAAGGGAACAGUCCAAAAAGCAUGACCCCUGCCUUUCACAGAACUUUCAAGAGAAUCAAGGAGACAGAAUGACACACAUGACCUGGAGCAGUGACUGAAGGCACUAGACAAGCUGGUACAAGCUGUUGGCUUCAGCCUGCUGCACAAGAGGCCUCCCAUGCUGCCAUCCCCAGACAGCCUGUGCCCUCCAGCUGGCAGAAGUACCCUGGGAGGCGCAAGGUCCAUGGUGGUGUGGGAGCAGAUGUGCCCCAGGGCAUGGACAGGAAGGUUGGAACCUGUGUCAUGGAGCAGGAGCAGAGCGAGACUCUGUGCGGUUAUGUGAAGCGAAGUGGCUAUACCUUGCCCCAGAGUGAAGAAGGAAGGGGGAAAUGUGGAGCCUGAGACAGACACUCACAGAGGCCAGGUGAUGUAAAGAGACAUCCACAUCCUCAUCUGACCAUCUACAAGCUCAGAAGAGAGGUCUGGAACAGCUCCUUCCCUCACAGCCAUCAGAAGGAAUCAACUCUGCCCACAUCCUCAUCUGGGACUUCCCAGUUUCUGAACUUGGAGAAAAUAAAUUUCUGUUAUUUAAGCCA